CCUACGGGUGGCAGCAGUGAGGAAUAUUGGUCAAUGGACGAGAGUCUGAACCAGCCAAGUAGCGUGAAGGAUGACUGCCCUAUGGGUUGUAAACUUCUUUUAUAUGGGAAUAAAACGUUCCACGUGUGGGAUUUUGUAUGUACCAUAUGAAUAAGGAUCGGCUAACUCCGUGCCAGCAGCCGCGGUAAUACGGAGGAUCCGAGCGUUAUCCGGAUUUAUUGGGUUUAAAGGGAGCGUAGGUGGAUUGUUAAGUCAGUUGUGAAAGUUUGCGGCUCAACCGUAAAAUUGCAGGUGAACCUGGCAGUCUUGAGUACAGUAGAGGUGGGCGGAAUUCGUGGUGUAGCGGUGAAAUGCUUAGAUAUCACGAAGAACUCCGAUUGCGAAGGCAGUUCACUGGACUGCAACUGACACUGAGGCUCGAAAGUGUGGGUAUCAAACAGGAUUAGAUACCCCAGUAGUC
rnacentral:rRNA from 1 species